GCUUUAGUGUAACUCCUGUUGCAGCUGCUGCUGAAAGAAUUGAGAAAUUGUCCCGCUCAAGUUCAGCUGCAUGGACAAAUGUGUCUCAGGUCAGAAGCGUGAAAAAAAGGCACUCGCUCUCUGGUAACCCAGCAGGAAGUGGGAGCGACACGCUGACAGCCAAUCAGGUAACAGUAUCAACUGUCAAGUUUGCGAUUGAUUCUUUGCAGGGAGCCAGAAGAGAAAGUCAAAGUGAAGAAAUUGUGGACACUAUGGCACUAAAAGGACCGUAGUCGGACCUAACACCGCACCAUCUCGCUCGCCCUUUAGAGCACAGCCGUAACUUCCUGGCACUAAACCUGCAAUUUGGCACUAUUCUCAGUCAAUCUCAACCAUCCAUCCAUGGAUCCAUUUUUCUACCACUUAUUCCCUUCGGGGUAACACGGGGGGUGCUGGAGCCUAUCUCAGCUACAAUCGGGCGGAAGGCAGGGUACACUAUGGACAAGUCGCCACCUCAUCAGAGGGCCCCAAUAUCAACCAUCCAUCCAUCCAUCCAUCCAUUUUCUACUGCUUAUUCCCUUUUGGGGUCGCGGGGGGUGCUGGCGCCUAUCUCAGCUACGAUCGGGCGGAAGGCGGGGUACACCCUGGACAAGUCGCCACCUCAUCGCAGGGCCAGGACAGAUAGACAGACAACAUUCACACUCACCGAUAUUCUUUAUUUAACCUCUAAAGGCCUUAGUGACCGCAUGCGUGGACAGCAUACUUGCCAACCCUCCCGGAUUUUCCGGGAGACUCCCGAAAUUCAGCGCCUCUCCUGAAAAUCUCCUGGGACAAAUUUUCUCCCGAAAAUCUCCCGAAAUUCAGGCGAAACUGGAGGCCACGCCCCCUCCAGCUCCAUGCGGACCGACUCAAUGUUGUGACCCUCUUAAACAAGACAAUACUGCCAUUUACUGUACAUAGAAUAGAAUGUAAAUAUAUUCUACAUUUAAGUGCAGUCAAAGAAAAUGCAUUAGGGAGUCUGUUCUGAAGCCCACAGUAAAGAGAUGUAACUUCA